rnacentral:rRNA from 1 species
GUUGGUGAACCAGCGGAGGGAUCAUUACCGAGUUUACAACUCCCAAACCCCUGUGAACAUACCUUAUGUUGCCUCGGCGGAUCAGCCCGCGCCCCGUAAAAAGGGACGGCCCGCCGCAGGAACCUUAAACUCUGUUUUUAGUGGAACUUCUGAGUAUAAAAAACAAAUAAAUCAAAACUUUCAACAACGGAUCUCUUGGUUCUGGCAUCGAUGAAGAACGCAGCAAAAUGCGAUAAGUAAUGUGAAUUGCAGAAUUCAGUGAAUCAUCGAAUCUUUGAACGCACAUUGCGCCCGCCAGUAUUCUGGCGGGCAUGCCUGUUCGAGCGUCAUUUCAACCCUCAAGCCCAGCUUGGUGUUGGGAGCUGCAGUCCUGCUGCACUCCCCAAAUACAUUGGCGGUCACGUCGAGCUUCCAUAGCGUAGUAAUUUACAUAUCGUUACUGGUAAUCGUCGCGGCCACGCCGUUAAACCCCAACUUCUGAAUGUUGACCUCGGAUCAGGUAGGAAUACCCGCUGAACUUAAGCAUAUCAAUAAG